rnacentral:RNase_P_RNA from 1 species
GGCGAUGAAUCAGUUGUCGCGGUAAGGCUAUUUUUCGUAAAAGAAUAGUUUUUAUUGAGGAAAGUCCGGGCUCCGCAGGGCAUGGUGCCGGGUAAUACCCGGGCGCAAACGUUCAGUUUGCGACAGAAAGUGCAACAGAAAAUAAACCGCCUCAAGACUACCGAGCAGUCUGCGGUAAAAAGAUUUUACCAAAAGUCUUGCACGGGAGAGGCUAAGGGUGAAAUGGCGUGGUAAGAGCACACCGCGGAGCCGGUAACGGUUCCGGCAGGGCAAACCUCACUUUGGAGCAAAGUCAAGCAGCGGCAGAAUUGCCCGUUUGUAAUGCCGCGGGUAGACUGCGUAGACGCCGCCUGUAAAGACGGUGCAAGAUAGAUGACAACAUAAAACAGAACCCGGCUUAUGGUUCAUCGCCUUUU